rnacentral:rRNA from 1 species
GACGAACGCUGGCGGCGUGCCUAAUACAUGCAAGUAGAACGCAGUUGCGAACGGGUGAGUAACGCGUAUGUAACUGCCUCAUAGCGGGGGGUAACUAUUGGAAACGAUAGCUAAUACCGCAUCCUGUGAGAUGGAUCUGCGUUGUAUUAGGUAGUUGGUGGGGUAAAGGCUCACCAAGGCGACGAUACAUAGCCGACCUGGGAGGGUUGUCGGCAAAACUGGGAACGGGGACAAGCCCAAGCUUCUAAGGGGGGGAGGCAUAGGGGAUCUUCGGCAAUGGGCGGAAGUCUGGCCGAGCAAAGGCGCGGGAGUGAAGAAAGUUUUCGGAUCGUAAAACUCUGUUGUUAGAGAAGCGUUAACUAACCAGAAAGGGACGGCUAACUACGUGCCAGCAGCCGCGGUAAUAC